CUCACGUCGUCUUCUUCACCAAAUCACCCCUCUUCCCCUAGAUGGAUCUCAAUCACCGACUUCCUCCAUCAUUUCCACCGCAUAAUGCCAUUACAGUUGAUCUGAAAACAAAAUCCAUUUCAUUGAUCCAUUAUAUCAUAAACCGAUCUACAAUGAAGAUCCCCAAUGAUUGAUAGAUUGAACUACAUGAUGGAUGCAUCCUUCUUUCCUCUCGGAGUUUCAUGCCCUAAUAAAUCAACCAGAGAUCUGAUCGCUCCAGACCUCCUGAUUCAGAGGUUCAAUCGGUGUCGGUGUUGUUCAAGUCUUCGAGCAAUUUCUUCAACUGCGUUUCGAUUUCAAUGAGAUCAGGUCUCGCUUUACUACUUGGACAUCUUAGCAAAUUAUAGGUCUCGCUUCUCAGGUAAAUUAACCUAAUAACAUAGAGUUCGAUGUUUGAGAUUGGAAUCAGAGCUCCUUUUUGUUACAGGUUCCCAAAAUAGAUUAUGAGUUCCGACUUCAUGUUAAAUGGUGCUUGCAUUUGAUUCUUCUUAACAUUCAGAUUUCUAAUUCAAUUUGAUUUGAAUGUUAACAAUGUUUACCUUUUUUAUUGUUUUGUAGAUCACUGCAGAUGGUGAAAUAAUCGGACAUCAUCAUUUUAAGCAUACCAGACCUUUAGGAAGUGGAGAUAUUGGAAGGUAUAUUGUAUGAAUGUGUUCAUUGACUUUUCCAAUUUCUAUCAUAAAUUUAUAAUCAAUUUGUUUACAAUUUUAUAGAGUUAGGCUUUUUUUUAGUGAAAAUUACAAGUUUAGUUUGAUUUCCAACAAUACUGGAAUAAAAAUCUAAUUUGUAUUUGAAAUUAAAGUAGAGAUUGUUGAAGGAAUGGUCGGUUCAUGAAGUUGAGUACCAUAAGAACACUAUUUCUGAUCUUGUUAGGGAAAAGAAGAAAGUUGAACAGGAGAUUUUGACCCUCAAAACUGAGUUAAAUACAUGUAAUGAUAAAUGGGGUCAAGAGCUCUCUAGGUUCUUAGGAAAUCUUCAAGUGCUGUUAAAAGAUGAGUCUUUAUUCACUUUGUUCAAGGGAAGUUUUGAGAAAAAAAAAUCGAAAACUUAAAAGAAAUAGACUGCGUUCUCAAAGACAUAAAGGGUAGUUUUGAUUCAGAACAGUUUUAAGAGCAUCAUUCAGUUGAGGAAAGUUAGGAUGUUGCAUUUGACAAUGAUUGGAACAUUGGGAAGCUUGAAGAGUUCAAUGCAGAAGAUAUUGAGGGUAUUAUUAUUGGUUCACAUGUUGGAAACACUUUGGAUAAGUUGAAUGCUAGAAACCAAAUUCUUGAUGGCCAAUUUGGUAGUUUCUCAAUACUGAUUGAUGACAUGAUAGGUGGAGGUAAUAAAGAAUACUAUGCCAUCUGUGGUUAAACAAACAAAAGAAUUACAUGGUGAAUUAGAGAAAGCUAGAUUAAUGUAUGAUAAAGCCAAAGAAGAAAAUGAUGCAUACCAUGGAAGGGUAUCUAAAUUGGAGACAGAAUUAGAAGCAUCUGGAAACAUGUCCAAAGAGAUAAGCUCUAAAUUGGUAGAUUAUCAGAUAAAAGAGGAUAACUAGAACGAAAGAGAAAGGGAGUUGUCUGCUCAAAGUGCUUCCUCCAUUAAAGAUCAUGAUUUGGAAGAAAUUAUGGCGAACAUUGAAGAGGUGAAGAAUGAUAAAUUGAAGAAAAUAAGGAAAUAUUGACACGAAGACAUGAAAACGCUUUUAAAUUUGUAGCAUUUUUUAUUUUUUAUAUUUUAUUUGUAUCGAAUAAAAUACUUGUACUAUUAUGUUUAUAGAUUGGUUAAUAAAAAUGAGAUUUUUUAUGA